rnacentral:rRNA from 1 species
GAGGUGGAAGCGUGGUGACACGUGGAGCUGACAAAUACUAAUAGAUCGAGGACUUAACUAAA